UCUAUACUGAGCAAAGGUGAUGUGAUUAACUAAGUUUAUGUAAAUCACGGAAGAUAAUUAUUUCAAAAUUAAUGCUCUACCUCUGAAUCUGAAUCUAGAGAUGAGCAAACAGCCUGUUUGUCAGAACUGAGGCAGCUGUGUUUGCCUUUCCCUUAUUAUACGCCUAGUCAACUGUCUGGAAAUAAACCAGAGAUAUCCAGAGGGCUUCACAGACCAGCAACUGCAAUUUACAGUAUUCAUAGAUCUGCAGUCUUAUUGUGACCACAGAGACCAAAUUAAACAAGGAUGUAAGCAAGCAAAAUGCCAUGGACGUGAGUUUGCAUGUUUUUUUUUCCUACACAAGUGCCAGCCAUGUAGCAGAAAAAAGAAUCUGUCAUUGGAUUAUGCAGCCUGCCGCUUUUGUAGGGUUGUGUUGCUAAUAGUCAGAUACUGCUAAUAUGAUAACUUAUACUUCCUUUGUUUCCAGUUCCUGCAAUUGGUAAAACAGAUAUGCGGAGUUCUUUGUGUUAGAUUGUUUUCCAGAUUCCACGCGUUUUAGGCAAAGCCCCAUGAAUAUUAGAGAACUUGCAUUUCCGUUCAAGGUGCGGGUGCUCUUUCUUACAUAUUUCUGUGCCUAUCUUUGUGAUUAUUUGUAGGGCUCUUUCCAUUCCAAACCUUUCCAUUCUUCUCCCAAAUCCUUUCAAUUUUUAUUCACAAUGAAAUUCCCAUUCUGCUAGAAGCAGAAAUGACGUUUUCUGCAAGCAACACCAUGCUUGUCCUAAUGGGGGCUGGGCACCUAAUGUGACGCUGGGGACCUAAUGUACUUCUGAGUGUCGUUUUCUUUUCUUGCUGGAGUGGUUGCAGCCUCUUGCCUACGCCUCACUNGGACAUCGCUUCCUGCUGAUUGUGGGGCAGCAGCUUGCACAGACGUCAUACAGUGAUUCAAAGCACCCUCAUGUUGAGUUGCAGAUGGGUACAAUUUGGACAUGCCUAUAUCAGUGCUCAUGAUGCCAAGCAAGUAUGACUACAACAACAAAGAGGUUGCAAGGGAAAUGAUGAUAUUAAUUGCUCUUGACUGUGCUUUCUUGGCUCUUUGUGUUAUUUAUUUAUUUCAAAAAGUAAAAAUUAUCAGGUCUACUUAUCAUUCAAACCUGAAACAACCUAUACAACCCAUAAGCACAACACUUGGAUCUUACUUCCUGGUUAGAGUACUUUAAAAAAAAAUGUUUAUAGAGUCCAGUGAGAUAGUAUUGAUGAUGAGGUCUGCAUUUUCAAGAGNGUUAAACAUUUUAAAACCCAUAACUGCAUUACCGAUCAGUUCAGA
rnacentral:lncRNA from 1 species